ACCCCGGUGGUGGAGUGGUAGCACUCGUCCACGGUAUGAAUGAAGCGCUGGUUCGACUCCCGCCUGAGGUC